GUAUAAUUUGGAGAGCGAUGACCCCCUGGUUUGAAAUGGACGCUUAUAAGCCAGGGGCGAGCCAGUAGCGUAACCGGCCACUUUUUUA
rnacentral:ncRNA from 18 species